rnacentral:misc_RNA from 1 species
GAUGAAGAACGUAGUGAAAUGCGAUAAGUAAUGUGAAUUGCAGAAUUCAGUGAAUCAUCGAAUCUUUGAACGCACAUUGCGCCCGCUAGUAUUCUGGCGGGCAUGCCUGUCCGAGCGUCAUUUCAACCCUCAAGCCCCCGGGCUUGGUGUUGGGGAUCGGCGAGCCUCCGCGCCCGCCGUCCCCUAAAUCUAGUGGCGGUCUCGCUGUAGCUUCCUCUGCGUAGUAGCACACCUCGCACUGGGAAACAGCGCGGCCACGCCGUUAAACCCCCAACUUCUGAACGUUUGACCUCAGAUCAGGUAGGAAUACCCGCUGAACUUAAGCAUAUCAAUAAGCGGAGGA